rnacentral:siRNA from 1 species
CUAGGAGGGUAUAUUUGUGCCG